rnacentral:tmRNA from 1 species
GGGGUUGUUUAGACUCGACAGGGCGUACUUUCAAAAUAGGCAAGCCGAUCUUGAGAACAUGAUCGUAAAAAUCGUUCUCACGAUGAUAAAUGCAAACUUCAUCACAAAAGCAAAGAAUGCGAUCGCGCAAGCGUUCGCACCAACUUUCGCUCUUGCUCUCGCCUAAAUUUUAGCGCGGAGCCAUCAGAAUCCCGAUUCUCGGUAAGGAAUCUCUGGUGUCAUAUAAUCGAGACGGCCGAAGAGUUUCUUUUUCUUUCUUCUUCUCAGCCGUAUUGCGAAAGAAAAAAAUGAAUGGAGAUUUUGUCUGCUUUUUACUUCUUUCAUUACACAAAGCACUCUAAGCUUGUAGAAUAUUUUGGGAAAAUGUUUCUGGACAUGGGUGCAAUUCCCAUCAACUCCACAC